AAGGAGCCCGCCUCACUCUUUGCCACACACCGGUAGCUGCCGGCAUCACUCGCUGAGGCCCGCGGGAAGAUGAGCUCCGAGCUGCUGCCACUGCCCUCACUGCCCUCCACCACCUCCCACCUAUCACCUGUAGGGGAAAAGUGGACAGAGGGCAGCGGGUGACCUAUGGUAAGGCACGGCAGCUGGAAGAACUCACCCUCCUGAAAGUGCACCUCAGAGGGGAGCGGCUCACUCAGAGAUGGGGGAGCUGUGGGGAGCACCAACAAGAGUUAUGACACUAUAUUCUUGAGUGUUUCUGUGUCAUUACCUUUAACAGGGUCUAGUAGAAGUUAUUGGAGUUUUCAAAGGUGUUUUUAAUAUUCAUGUGAUGACUAAACAUAAAUUCUACUUCAUUAAUACAAAAAUCAUUGUAACUAAUAGUCUGAAGCCUUUGAAAAUAGUCCUGUGAUAAACCAGCCUUUUCAAACAAGCCUAUCUCAAUACAACACAAGGAGGGCUGUGUGUGAAGACCUCCAAAGAGAACAAUACCAGAUACCAGGUUCUCACAGUUCACUCACCAUACAUCUCCACAUAUAUCUGUGCCGAGCCAAAAGGUGUGAUGCACUGGUAGGUUCCAAUGUUCCUUGCUGAGGCAUGGGUGAGGACCAGCUGGUGGACUGUUGUGUUGUGUUCACCAGGGUACGUCAGUGACUCGUAUGCAUUGGGAUUGAUCACUGCUCCCUCAAAGGUCCAGGUGAUUGUGACCUGCUUAGUGUGGCAUUUGUUUGAGGGUGUGAAUAAAAAUGGUAUGUUACUGAUUAUAUUCAUGAGGUAUCGAAGAUGUUGAUAAGAAUGGUACCUUACUAAUUACACUUAUGAGGUAACAUCCCAACAGUUGUCAUACACCUACAUAUUUUGAAAGAAUGUUCUGUAUUACAUUUUAUCAAGUGCUAUAAACUCAUUCUAAAAACAAUAAACUGAACAUGCUGCUUAGCUAACAUAAUACAAUGAAAAUUAAUUAAUGUUUUAUCAGAAGUCACUGCUAAAAAUAUUGGCCUUCAAGUAAAAUGCAUUAACCAGAGAUAAAUCUGCAUAUAAAAAUAACAAAUAAACAAUAUACAUCUUAGUGAGCAGCAGCCACCGAUAUAAAAUUGAACUAAUUACCGAGAUCAAGUACACAGAAGUCCAUUUGAUGGCUUAAAAGUAUAAUGCCAUUUAAUAUGUGAAAUUAACUAGUAAAACAAAAAAUACUGAAACUGCAACACUGUACCUGAGUGCCAGCAUUCUUGGCAUACUGUGUGGUGCAUCUCAAGGAGAGCUCCUCGUCCUCGUAAAAAUUGUUCCCAGUAACUCCAAGAAGGCGAGGAGGACGAUCUGAGAGAGAGAAACAAGCACUGACAUGUCCACCAACAGCAAAAUAUGAUAAAGACUCUUAAGUGUGUGUGAGUCUGUGAGAGUGAACUGAAGAACAAAGCUAUGAGUAAUAAUGAGGAAGUCUACAGAAAUUUCAAGUACAAAACCAUAUAUAAAUAGAGAAUUAGUGUAGAAUCAUGCAUAAACUCUCAUGUAUUAUAUAAGGGAGUCAAUACAGAAUUAAGUGUAAAAAUA